CUCAACUAUGCCCUUGACCUUAGCAGACCUGGAGGUGAAAUGCUGGUCAAAGAGGGGGAUGUCUGCCUGACAAGGGAAGACUUUUGGAGCUUGUGCCUUCCUAGGAACAUGGAGUCCAAUAUUGGAAACGCAUGUUUCAAACUUGUGGCGGAGGCCGCCCGAAGACAUGGAAAAGACAUCCACGUUGUUGACGCUUAUGUGGUUCCAACUUGGAAGUCUGAAACAGUGGACCCUAUGGCUGGUCUUCCAGGUGACCUGCUGCAGAAGGACCUAAUCAUCCUCCCUGCCUGGAGCCGACAGCCAGGGAAAGCAGACCACUAUGUGCUUUGCGGACCUAGCACAGCGCAUUGCCCCAGGCCAGUGGAGAACUAAACAUGGCAGAGACUUGGAGAGUUUCCCGUGCCAAACCACCGGCAAUUACUGUGGUGUCCUCAUCCUGAUGUACGCAUUCUGCACCUGCACAGAUGCUCCAUUUCUUUUCACCGAGCUGGACAUGGCAGACAUCAGGAAAUGGUGGUGCAUUUCCCUGAUGGAACGUUUCCAGAUCGAUGGCCACGGACGGAUGCUUGCAUACUGAAACAAGGAGGCACGAGCAUUGCUCGCAGGGUUGGAGCCAGUGUUUAGGGUCCCAAAGGCCAGAAAGACUGAACAUAAGGUUCAGUCUCAGAAGUCCGACCUGUGCUUCAUUUCGGAGUGAGGGGUUGAGAGAGAGAAGGAAGACGCUCUCUGCGAGCCAGAGAGAGCGUAGCUAGACCACGGGACGGACUGAACGAAUAUUCGUCGUUGUCCAUUUGUUCAUGUACAUUGUGUUUAUUUGCCACGAACAGGAAAUAAACCGGAGUUCGCUUAAUUUUCACCAA